AAUCAAUGAGCUUGAACAAGCAUAUGUUUUGAAAGCAUAAGAUAAAAACAAAAUAUUUUUAUUGAUUU
rnacentral:tRNA from 1 species